rnacentral:rRNA from 1 species
AACGAACGCUGGCGGCAUGCCUAACACAUGCAAGUCGAACGAGACCUUCGGGUGUAGUGGCGCACGGGUGCGUAACGCGUGGGAACCUGCCCUUAGGUUCGGAAUAACUCCCCGAAAGGGGUGCUAAUACCGGAUAAUGUCUUCGGACCAAAGAUUUAUCGCCUUUGGAUGGGCCCGCGUUGGAUUAGCUAGUUGGUAGGGUAAAAGCCUACCAAGGCGACGAUCCAUAGCUGGUCUGAGAGGAUGAUCAGCCACACUGGGACUGAGACACGGCCCAGACUCCUACGGGAGGCAGCAGUGGGGAAUAUGGGACAAUGGGCGAAAGCCUGAUCCGGCAAUGCCGCGUGAGUGAUGAAGGCCUUAGGGUUGUAAAGCUCUUUUACCCGGGAUGAUAAUGACAGUACCGGGAGAAUAAGCUCCGGCGAACUCCGU